rnacentral:rRNA from 1 species
UCUUUACAUUAUAAAAUUUUAAAUUUGAAUUUAUAAUUAUAGAGCGUUUAAUAUUUAUUUUUGUUGUGCUGGGGCGGCAUAGAUAUACUAAGAAACUGUUUAUAAAUUAAAAUCAGUAAUAACUGUUUAGAAUAUUUGUUCCUUGAAUAAGAUUAUAAGAUUAAGAU